rnacentral:rRNA from 1 species
AUUGAACGCUGGCGGCAGGCCUAACACAUGCAAGUCGAACGAGUGGCGGACGGGUGAGUAAUGUCUGGGAAACUGCCUGAUGGAGGGGGAUAACUACUGGAAACGGUAGCUAAUACCGCAUACCAUCAGAUGUGCCCCGAUGGGAUUAGCUUGUUGGUGGGGUAACGGCUCACCAAGGAGACGAUCCCUAGCUGGUCUGAGAGGAUGAUCAGGCACACGGAAAUGGAGAAACGGGCCCGACUCCUACGGGAGGCAGCAGUGGGGAAUAUUGGACAAGGGGCGAAAGCCUGAUCCAGCCAUGCAGCGUGUGGGAAGAAGGUCUUCGGAUUGUAAAGCACUUUAAGUUGGGAGGCGUUACCAACAGAAUAAGCACCGGCUAACUUCGUGCCAGCAGCCGCGGUAAUAC